rfam:Strongylocentrotus purpuratus Contig15791_fixed, whole genome shotgun sequence.
GGUAUGGUGGCUCAGUGGUUAGAGCGCCCGCCUCACGAACGGGAGUUCGUGGGUUCGAACCCCAGCCGAGUCA